rnacentral:rRNA from 1 species
UCUGGUGCCAGCAGCCGCGGUAAUUCCAGCUCCAAUAGCGUAUAUUAAAGUUGCUGCAGUUAAAAAGCUCGUAGUUGGAUUUCUGGUUUGACACAUUUAGCCGGCCGCGGUUUCGCGUGUUAGUGCUAGAUGUUCUGGCCAUCCUUUCAAUCGCUAUUCACCUUUCUUCAUUGAUUGGUGAGUGGUAUUGGAUCUUUUACUUUGAAAAAAUUAGAGUGUUUCAAGCAGGCUUUAUGCUAUGAAUACAUUAGCAUGGAAUAAUAAUUUAGGACUUCGGUUCUAUUUUGUUGGUUUCUAGGACUGAAGUAAUGAUUGAUAGGGAUAGUUGGGGGUGCUAGUAUUCAGCGGCCAGAGGUGAAAUUCUCGGAUUCGCUGAAGACUAACUUAUGCGAAAGCAUUCACCAAGGAUGUCUUCUUUAAUCAAGAACGAAAGUUGGGGGAUCGAAGACGAUCAGAUACCGUCGUAGUCUCAACCAUAAACUAUGCCGACUAGGGAUGAGUGAACGUUGCAUUUUCGACUUCAUUCGCACCUUAUGAGGAAUCAAAGUCUUUGGGUUCCGGGGGGAGUAUGGUCGCAAGGCUGAAACUUAAAGGAAUUGACGGAAGGGCACCACCAGGAGUGGAGCCUGCGGCUUAAUUUGACCCAACACGGGAAAACUUACCAGGUCCAGACACAGUAAGGAUUGACAGAUUGAAGAUCUUUCUUGAUUCUGUGGGUGGUGGUGCAUGGCCGUUCUUAGUUGGUGGAGUGAUUUGUCUGGUUAAUUCCGUUAACGAACGAGACCUCGACCUGCUAAAUAGUUCGACAAAGGAUUCUUUCUUUGGACGUGACUUCUUAGAGGGACUAUCGGUGUGUAGCCGACGGAAGUUCGAGGCAAUAACAGGUCUGUGAUGCCCUUAGAUGUUCUGGGCCGCUCGCGCGCUACACUGAUGCAUUCACCAAGUUUACAACCUUGACUGAGAGGUCUGGGUAAUCUUUGCAACAUGCAUCGUGCUGGGGAUAGAUUAUUGUAAUUAUUAAUCUUCAACGAGGAAUUCCUAGUAAACGCAAGUCAUCAACUUGCAUUGAUUACGUCCCUGCCCUUUGUACACACCGCCCGUCGCUACUACCGAUUGAAUGGAUUAGUGAGCUUCACGGAUUGCUGCAUUUGUGGUUCGCCACUUAUGUGAUGAGAAGUGAAACAAACUUGCUCAUUUAGAGGAAGUAAAAGUC